rnacentral:rRNA from 1 species
AGCGAACGCUGGCGGCAGGCCUAACACAUGCAAGUCGAACGAACUCUUCGGAGUUAGUGGCGGACGGGUGAGUAACACGUGGGAACGUGCCUUUAGGUUCGGAAUAACUCAGGGAAACUUGUACUAAUACCGAAUGUGCCCUUCGGGGGAAAGAUUUAUCGCCUUUAGAGCGGCCCGCGUCUGAUUAGCUAGUUGGUGAGGUAAAGGCUCACCAAGGCGACGAUCAGUAGCUGGUCUGAGAGGAUGAUCAGCCACAUUGGGACUGAGACACGGCCCAAACUCCUACGGGAGGCAGCAGUGGGGAAUCUUGCGCAAUGGGCGAAAGCCUGACGCAGCCAUGCCGCGUGAAUGAUGAAGGUCUUAGGAUUGUAAAAUUCUUUCACCGGGGACGAUAAUGACGGUACCCGGAGAAGAAGCCCCGGCUAACUUCGUG